ACCACUGAAAGAGUUUUGGCUGGA
rnacentral:siRNA from 1 species